rnacentral:rRNA from 1 species
AGCAGCCGCGGUAAUUCCAGCUCCAAUAGCGUAUAUUAAAGUUGUUGCAGUUAAAAAGCUCGUAGUUGAACUUCGAAAUUUGUUCAUUGGUCAGGCUUAAACUGUCUGUACUGGUGUGACGAAUUUUUACCUUCCGAGGAAUCUUUAUGCCAUUAAUUUGGUGUAGGAGGGAAUCAGGACUGUUACUUUGAAAAAAUUAGAGUGUUCAAAGCAGGCUUUUAACGUCUGAAUACAUUAGCAUGGAAUAAUAAAAUAGGACGGUUUGGUUCUAUUUUGUUGGUUUCUAGGAUCACCGUAAUGAUUAAUAGGGAUAGUUGGGGGCAUUAGUAUUCAAUUGUCAGAGGUGAAAUUCUUGGAUUUAUUGAAGACUAACUAUUGCGAAAGCAUUUGCCAAGGAUGUUUUCAUUAAUCAAGAACGAAAGUUAGGGGAUCGAAGACGAUCAGAUACCGUCGUAGUCUUAACCAUAAACUAUGCCGACUAGGGAUCGGACGAAGUUAAUUUUUAAAUGACUCGUUCGGCACCUUACG